UACGAGGGGUCCUAGCGUUGUUCGGAAUCAUUGGGCGUAAAGGGUGCGUAGGUGGCCAUUCAAGUCAGUUGUGAAAUCCCCGGGCUCAACCCGGGAAGUGCUUCUGAUACUGUUUGGCUUGAGUACUGGAGAGGAUAGUAGAAUUCCAGGUGUAGUGGUGAAAUACGUAGAUAUCUGGAGGAAUACCGGUGGCGAAGGCAGGUCUCUGGGCAUUAACUGACGCUGAGGAGCGAAAGCAUGGGGAGCGAACAGG
rnacentral:rRNA from 1 species